rnacentral:rRNA from 1 species
AACGGGUGAGUAACACGUAUCUAAUCUACCUUUUAGUGGGGGAUAACCCUUGGAAACGAAGGAUAAUACCGCAUAAGAUCUUCAUUAUGACAUCAGAAGAAGAGGAAAGAUCCGUUUGGAUCGCUAAAAGAUGAGGAUGCGGCGUAUUAGUUAGUAGGCGGGGUAAAGGCCCACCUAGACGAUGAUACGUAGCCGAACUGAGAGGUUGAUCGGCCACAUUGGGACUGAGAUACGGCCCAGACUCCUACGGGAGGCAGCAGUAGGGAAUUUUUCACAAUGGACGAAAGUCUGAUGAAGCAAUGCCGCGUGAGUGAUGAAGGUCUUCGGAUUGUAAAGCUCUGUUGUAAGGGAAGAAUAAGCCAGGAAGGAAAUGUCUUGGUGAUGACGGUACCUUA